rnacentral:rRNA from 1 species
GGGUUGUGAGGUUAAGCGACUAAGCGUACACGGUGGAUGCCCUGGCAGUCAGAGGCGAUGAAGGACGUGCUAAUCUGCGAUAAGCGUCGGUAAGGUGAUAUGAACCGUUAUAACCGGCGAUUUCCGAAUGGGGAAACCCAGUGUGUUUCGACACACUAUCAUUAACUGAAUCCAUAGGUUAAUGAGGCGAACCGGGGGAACUGAAACAUCUAAGUACCCCGAGGAAAAGAAAUCAACCGAGAUUCCCCCAGUAGCGGCGAGCGAACGGGGAGGAGCCCAGAGCCUGAAUCAGUGUGUGUGUUAGUGGAAGCGUCUGGAAAGGCGCGCGAUACAGGGUGACAGCCCCGUACACAAAAAUGCACAUAUUGUGAGCUCGAUGAGUAGGGCGGGACACGUGGUAUCCUGUCUGAAUAUGGGGGGACCAUCCUCCAAGGCUAAAUACUCCUGACUGACCGAUAGUGAACCAGUACCGUGAGGGAAAGGCGAAAAGAACCCCGGCGAGGGGAGUGAAAAAGAACCUGAAACCGUGUACGUACAAGCAGUGGGAGCCUCUUUUAUGGGGUGACUGCGUACCUUUUGUAUAAUGGGUCAGCGACUUAUAUUCUGUAGCAAGGUUAACCGAAUAGGGGAGCCGAAGGGAAACCGAGUCUUAACUGGGCGUUAAGUUGCAGGGUAUAGACCCGAAACCCGGUGAUCUAGCCAUGGGCAGGUUGAAGGUUGGGUAACACUAACUGGAGGACCGAACCGACUAAUGUUGAAAAAUUAGCGGAUGACUUGUGGCUGGGGGUGAAAGGCCAAUCAAACCGGGAGAUAGCUGGUUCUCCCCGAAAGCUAUUUAGGUAGCGCCUCGUGAAUUCAUCUCCGGGGGUAGAGCACUGUUUCGGCAAGGGGGUCAUCCCGACUUACCAACCCGAUGCAAACUGCGAAUACCGGAGAAUGUUAUCACGGGAGACACACGGCGGGUGCUAACGUCCGUCGUGAAGAGGGAAACAACCCAGACCGCCAGCUAAGGUCCCAAAGUCAUGGUUAAGUGGGAAACGAUGUGGGAAGGCCCAGACAGCCAGGAUGUUGGCUUAGAAGCAGCCAUCAUUUAAAGAAAGCGUAAUAGCUCACUGGUCGAGUCGGCCUGCGCGGAAGAUGUAACGGGGCUAAACCAUGCACCGAAGCUGCGGCAGCGACGCUUAUGCGUUGUUGGGUAGGGGAGCGUUCUGUAAGCCUGUGAAGGUGUGCUGUGAGGCAUGCUGGAGGUAUCAGAAGUGCGAAUGCUGACAUAAGUAACGAUAAAGCGGGUGAAAAGCCCGCUCGCCGGAAGACCAAGGGUUCCUGUCCAACGUUAAUCGGGGCAGGGUGAGUCGACCCCUAAGGCGAGGCCGAAAGGCGUAGUCGAUGGGAAACAGGUUAAUAUUCCUGUACUUGGUGUUACUGCGAAGGGGGACGGAGAAGGCUAUGUUGGCCGGGCGACGGUUGUCCCGGUUUAAGCGUGUAGGCUGGUUUUCCAGGCAAAUCCGGAAAAUCAAGGCUGAGGCGUGAUGACGAGGCACUACGGUGCUGAAGCAACAAAUGCCCUGCUUCCAGGAAAAGCCUCUAAGCAUCAGGUAACAUCAAAUCGUACCCCAAACCGACACAGGUGGUCAGGUAGAGAAUACCAAGGCGCUUGAGAGAACUCGGGUGAAGGAACUAGGCAAAAUGGUGCCGUAACUUCGGGAGAAGGCACGCUGAUAUGUAGGUGAAGUCCCUCGCGGAUGGAGCUGAAAUCAGUCGAAGAUACCAGCUGGCUGCAACUGUUUAUUAAAAACACAGCACUGUGCAAACACGAAAGUGGACGUAUACGGUGUGACGCCUGCCCGGUGCCGGAAGGUUAAUUGAUGGGGUUAGCGGUAACGCGAAGCUCUUGAUCGAAGCCCCGGUAAACGGCGGCCGUAACUAUAACGGUCCUAAGGUAGCGAAAUUCCUUGUCGGGUAAGUUCCGACCUGCACGAAUGGCGUAAUGAUGGCCAGGCUGUCUCCACCCGAGACUCAGUGAAAUUGAACUCGCUGUGAAGAUGCAGUGUACCCGCGGCAAGACGGAAAGACCCCGUGAACCUUUACUAUAGCUUGACACUGAACAUUGAGCCUUGAUGUGUAGGAUAGGUGGGAGGCUUUGAAGUGUGGACGCCAGUCUGCAUGGAGCCGGCCUUGAAAUACCACCCUUUAAUGUUUGAUGUUCUAACGUUGGCCCCUGAUCGGGGUUGCGGACAGUGUCUGGUGGGUAGUUUGACUGGGGCGGUCUCCUCCUAAAGAGUAACGGAGGAGCACGAAGGUUGGCUAAUCCUGGUCGGACAUCAGGAGGUUAGUGCAAUGGCAUAAGCCAGCUUGACUGCGAGCGUGACGGCGCGAGCAGGUGCGAAAGCAGGUCAUAGUGAUCCGGUGGUUCUGAAUGGAAGGGCCAUCGCUCAACGGAUAAAAGGUACUCCGGGGAUAACAGGCUGAUACCGCCCAAGAGUUCAUAUCGACGGCGGUGUUUGGCACCUCGAUGUCGGCUCAUCACAUCCUGGGGCUGAAGUAGGUCCCAAGGGUAUGGCUGUUCGCCAUUUAAAGUGGUACGCGAGCUGGGUUUAGAACGUCGUGAGACAGUUCGGUCCCUAUCUGCCGUGGGCGCUGGAGAACUGAGGGGGGCUGCUCCUAGUACGAGAGGACCGGAGUGGACGCAUCACUGGUGUUCGGGUUGUCAUGCCAAUGGCACUGCCCGGUAGCUAAAUGCGGAAGAGAUAAGUGCUGAAAGCAUCUAAGCACGAAACUUGCCCCGAGAUGAGUUCUCCCUGACUCCUUGAGAGUCCUGAAGGAACGUUGAAGACGACGACGUUGAUAGGCCGGGUGUGUAAGCGCAGCGAUGCGUUGAGCUAACCGGUACUAAUGAACCGUGAGGCUUAACCUUACAACGCCGAAGCUGUU